ensembl:lncRNA
GGAGGAGGAGGAGGAGGGGGAGGAGGAGGAGGCAGAGGAGGCAGAGGAGGAGGAAGAGCAGCCGGGUCGGGCCGGGCCGGGCCGGGCCGGGCCGGGCCGAGGCAGCCGCACGGAGGGGCCCGUGCAAGGCGAGGGAGCCGGCCGGGCCCUCGCUCUGCAGGAUGCUGCAGCACUGAGCACGGUGGCGAUGUGACCUACAUUCCCGCGAGGAAGGAGCUCCCCGUCCCGGGCACACGCCGGCCUUUCGCUGCAGCCACGCCAUGAAGCGGCGCAAGUGAAGCAAAGGCCGUCACCACGUCAGGCCACGUGCGGGAGGCGGCGGGACAUGGCCAGCUCAGCACCAUGGCUGCACUGGACGGAACGGGACCUGGGCAGUGGCUCCCGGGAGCCGAAGCACUGGGAGGAAGAGGAGGAGGAGGAUUUUGAAGAACACAUGGAUGAGAACGGAGUCAUUGGCCUGGAGGACAAGCUCGCGGCUGUCGCCGGCCGGCCGAGGAGCUCCUGUUUCACAGACGUGCUCAGCCGACAGGUCCUGGAUCCCCCCACUCACGCCAGGAGUUUCAGCCUCGGCAAGCUGCAGGAAUUUGGUCUGGAGGAGUCGGGCACGGACGGGGAGGACGCCGGGAGCCCACCGUUGGGGGACGGCGAGGACCCGGGUGAUGAGACGCAGGAGGACCUGGCUUACUGGCACCCGCGGGAGGACGUGACUGUGGAGGACGAGGGUCAGGCCAGCUCGGGGGACGAGGAGAGGCCGGAGGGGACCUGGGGGGCCGAGAGCGACGGGGAGGCCUACCCCGAGCUCUCCUACGAGGGCCAGUGCGGCUCUGAGUGCAGCGGCAGCCCCGAGGUGCCGCAGGAUGGCCCAGCUCUCCGUGUGCUCUCCGAGAAAUCACUCAGCUUCAGCACGGACGGCAGGGAGACGUCGGCACCUUCGGACAUCAGCCCCGGCCCUUCCCCGCUGGGCCGGAGAGCGUCCAGCGGGGCCUCCGGGAUCCCCUCAGAUGGCAGCCCCCGGCAGAGCCCGCCUGCCGGCUCCGGCCACUGGAGCCUGAGCCGGAGCCUCCUGCUGCACCUCUCGGCCGACGACCUCCGCGACGCCCCCAGCAUCGAGGCAGAGCCCUUCCCCGAGUCCAGCACCGAGAGCGGCGAGGAGCCACCCAGGACAGAGCCGCUGGCCACUGCCGGGGGGUCGGCGCCCGCCGGGGAGCGCCGGGGCGGCGGGACCCCUGCUCCCCCACAGUGCCGG